rnacentral:SRP_RNA from 1 species
GCUUAAAUGUUACUGUCCUGCUAUCCCACUACUGGGGAAGCUCAGGCUGACGGAGCACUUGAGCUUGGGGAUUCUAAGCAACAGUGGACUAAGCUGAUCGGAUGUCUGCACGAAGUUCAGCACAAAAAUGGUGAGGCCCCAGGAGUGAGGAGCCAUCAGGAUUACUAAGAAGGGGCAAAUUUGCCCAUGUCGGAAAUGGAAUAGGUCAAAGCCCCCAUGCUGAUCAAAGUGAGGCUGGAUCCGUGAGAAACUCCUGAAUUUCUAUCCUAGGCAAGAUAAGGAGAACCAGUCUUU